rnacentral:tmRNA from 1 species
GGGGACGUACCGGUAUCGACAGGAAAGUGGUGCCGUACAGUAAGCAUGCCGGAGCAUGAUCGCUCAACUCCGUCAACAACUGGCGAUCGACUCGUUUUAAAUGGCGACUACAACUACGCCAUGGCUGCCUAAUCCAAGCGGAUUAGAAGCCAUUCUGCCGCACGCUUGACGCCUGAUACACAGCGUGCCGCGGAUCACGACCCCUCAGGCUUGGGUGGGCAACCUGCUCCAGUUGUCCGCCGACAUUUCCGGAGCUCAGGCGAGUGCAUGGGCGGGUUCCCUGGCCUACCACUCGCUGAAACUCCAAACAGGGAACUAAGCAUGUAGAAAGCUGUGCGGAGCUUUCUCUGGACGCGGGUUCGACUCCCGCCGUCUCCACAA